UUGAAAGGGAAACGAUUGAAGUCAGUCAUGCCGGUGGGAAUCAACUUAGGGGAAACUCUGGGUGCACUUCUUCGCUUGGCAGGUUAACGUCGAUUUUGAAUGUCAUAAAAUAAUUGGGGGAAGGUAGCUCCUUCGGGAGUGUUAUAGCCCUUGAUAGAUGUGAUGUUUGGGGUCGAGGAUUGCAACGGAUACCCUCUGGGGCUAGCCGCCUGAUCUCUAAUCGGUGUUGGGUUACGGAUAGCAUGCUGACCGUGAUCUAAUUACUGGUUAAAAGGUUAGAGCGUGCAUAAAUUCGUUAAGGAUGUUGACGUA
rnacentral:rRNA from 1 species